rnacentral:rRNA from 1 species
UAAGUGUGAAAGAGGUAUUAAAAUAAAGACAACGAGUUAAUAGGCCUUGUACCAGCUAUUUAAUAAAGAGUUCGUAACAGUUCACUCGAUAAAUAUUAAAAUCUCUAACAUUUUGGUGGCUUAAGAAAGGGGGUGGCCAGAUCAGUCACUUUUUGCGGUUGGACCAACUCUACCCCCUUCUCUCCCAAAACUAUGGUUUUUUUAAAGGUAGCAGAACUUGUUUUAAUAAUAUAAACAGAGAUAAUGCGAACAUGAGUAACUAAUGGGGGAGAAUAAACCCCUUUUGCCCAAGGUUUUCAAGGUCCUUCAAAAAAAAGGAGGAAAGGGUGAAUCAGUCCCUAAGAUAAACGGGGGUGUUAAUAGCACAAUCCUUUAAUUCGAUGGUAAUUAAAUUCUAAGAUACAGCAAUUAAUAACCCAGGAAAGAAUUAGAAUAAAUGAGACUGUACUGAAAACUAACACAAGUGGGCAAUAAAAAAGGGAGAAUUAAUAUUAAGGAACUCGGCAAGUUGCACGCGUAAGAUAACGAGAAGCGUGGAGGACAUUAAAAGAGAAGGAAAUUUCAUAAAAUGUCUUUAUAAGAUAUCAGGGAGCCUCGACUGUUUACCAAAAACAUAGUUUUCAGCGAAAUAAACGGAAAAACCGAUAGUAUUGAAAAUGAUGCCUGCCCAAUGAUUGUAUCUGAAAGGAUAAAAGGGGGAACACCUCCAAAAUCUAUAAGGACAAUUAAAUGGCCGCGGUAACUCUGACCGUGAUAAUGUAGCGUAAUCACUAGCCAGUUAAUUGCUGGCCUGUAUGAAUGGCUUAACGAGGGCUCCACUGUCUCAAUAUUAAACCCAGUGAAAUUGGAAUGAUGGUUAAGAUACCAUCUAUGAAUUCUAAGACGAGAAGACCCCAUUGAGCUUUACUAAAUACUUGUAUUGUCUCCUUCUAUCUUUUCUAGUGUAGUCUAAGUGGAAAGAAAAAAUCGACAAAAUGAAAAACCACUCAAGAAAAAGGGAAAAAAGACAAAAAAAGUACAAGUAAGAUGGUUUGGUUGGGGCGACCACCUUCUAAAAAGUAUCGAAGGUGAACAUAUGACAAAAAAGAGAAAAUGUGGAAAGAAGACAAUUUGUUUGACUGUGAGGGCGACAACCCGAACAGACGUCAGGCCCCCAAAGGGGAUAAGGCGGGUCAUAGUGAUCCGUUGGUAUAAAGUGGAAUAGCCAACGAUCAACGAAGAAAAGUUACCAUGGGGAUAACAGCGUAAUAUCGUUUAAGAGUACCUAUCGCUGACGAUGUUUGCGACCUCGAUGUUGAAUUGUGAUAUCCUGGAGGUGUAGCCGCUUCCAAGGGUUGGACUGUUCGUCCAUUAAAAUCAUACAUGAUUUGAGUUCUAGACCGGCGUGAGCCAGGUCGGUUUCUAUCUAGAAUUCAUUUCUUAAAUUCUUUUUAAUUUACUUUCUAGUACGAAAGGAUCGAAUAGUUUUUAUCCUCUGGUGAUUAGAGGGGGGGGAAAAAAACCAACCCUUUUGAGUAGCUACGAUAAAUAAGAAUAAUUGCUGAAAGCAACUCAAGCAAGAAGUCUAUAAAAAAAAUAUUUAAAAACAACGGAAAAAGAUAAUUUCCACAUAGGGAAAAAAAACCCAAUAGAAUGGGAGAAAAACCAUAACUAAAAAUUGUUUAUUUGUCCUAAGAAAACAAUGGAAAA